UGUCUUAUAGAUAAUAUGUUAGCUACUCUGGAUCCACAGUCACACCGUGUGUGUCAGUGUGGCAAACAAGUAGUUGUGAGGUGUCUGGACUGCCUGCCUCUCCCAUUCCUUUGUGCUGACUGUGAUAUUGCAGUUCACACACGCUUUGUCCUGCACAACAGAGAGGCAGUAACAGGAGGGUUUUUGCAGCCUUCAUCACAGUUUAGUUCGGCUGUUGCCUGUGCAAAGGCCAGAACAUGUGUGUGACUGCCCAGCAGGUAACGUUGAGGUUUCACGCGGCGCAAUUGUGGCUCUUGUAAC
ensembl:lncRNA